rnacentral:piRNA from 1 species
GAGACCAAAUUCCUUAAGCAAGUCAUCC